rnacentral:rRNA from 1 species
UACAGAGGGUGCGAGCGUUAAUCGGAAUUAUUGGGCGUAAAGCGCGCGCAGGCGGUUUCUUAAGUCUGAUGUGAAAGCCCACGGCUCAACCGUGGAGGGUCAUUGGAAACUGGGGAACUUGAGUGCAGAAGAGAAAAGCGGAAUUCCACGUGUAGCGGUGAAAUGCGUAGAGAUGUGGAGGAACACCAGUGGCGAAGGCGGCUUUUUGGUCUGUAACUGACGCUGAGGCGCGAAAGCGUGGGGAGCAAACAGG